CAGUCGCCACGGUAAUACGUAGGUGGCAAGCGUUGUCCGGAAUUAUUGGGCGUAAAGGGCUCGCAGGCGGUUGCUUAAGUCUGAUGUGAAAGCCCCCGGCUCAACCGGGGAGGGUCAUUGGAAACUGGGAAACUUGAGUGCAGAAGAGGAGAGUGGAAUUCCACGUGUAGCGGUGAAAUGCGUAGAGAUGUGGAGGAACACCAGUGGCGAAGGCGACUCUCUGGUCUGUAACUGACGCUGAGGAGCGAAAGCGUGGGGAGCGAACAGGAUUAGAUACCCCAGUAGUCCCUGUCUCUUAUAC
rnacentral:rRNA from 1 species